AUCGAACGCUGGCGGCAUGCCUUACACAUGCAAGUCGAACGGCAGCGGGGGAGAAGCUUGCUUUUCCUGCCGGCGAGUGGCGAACGGGUGAGUAAUACAUCGGAACGUGCCCUGUAGUGGGGGAUAACUAGUCGAAAGAUUAGCUCAUACCGCAUACGACCUGAGGGCGAAAGUGGGGGACCGCAAGGCCUCAUGCUAUAGGAGCGGCCGAUGUCUGAUUAGCUAGCUGGUGGGGUAAAGGCCUACCAAGGCGACGAGCAGUAGCUGGUCUGAGUGAACAAUAGGCCACGAUGAGACGGCGAGACGGCCCAGACUCCUACGGGAGGCAGCAGUGGGGAAUUUUGGACAAUGGGCGGGAGCCUGAUCCAGCAAUGGCGCGUGCAGGAAGAAGGCCUUCGGGUUGUAAACUGCUUUUGUACGGAGCGAAAAGGCUCCCUCUAAUACAGGGCGCUCAUGACGGUACCGUAAGAAUAAGCACCGGCUAACUACGUGCCAGCCGCCGCAGUAAAAC
rnacentral:rRNA from 1 species